CAGUAGCCGCGGUAAUACGUAGGUGGCAAGCGUUGUCCGGAAUUAUUGGGCGUAAAGGGCUCGCAGGCGGUUUCUUAAGUCUGAUGUGAAAGCCCCCGGCUCAACCGGGGAGGGUCAUUGGAAACUGGGAAACUUGAGUGCAGAAGAGGAGAGUGGAAUUCCACAUGUAGCGGUGAAAUGCGUAGAGAUGUGGAGGAACACCAGUGGCGAAGGCGACUCUCUGGUCUGUAACUGACGCUGAGGAGCGAAAGCGUGGGGAGCGAACAGGAUUAGAUACCCCAGUAGUCCCUGUCUCUUAUAC
rnacentral:rRNA from 1 species